AAGCCUGACCCCAGCGACGCCCGCGUGAGGGAAAGACGGUCUUCGGAUUGUAAACCUCUGUUGCAGGGGAAGAAGGAAGUGACGGUACCCUGCGAGGAAGCCCGGGCAAACUACGUGCCAGCAGCCGCGGUAACACGUAGGGGGCGAGCGUUGUCCGGAAUUACUGGGCGUAAAGGGCGCGUAGGCUGCGAGGCAAGUCGGGUGUAAAAGGCACGGGCUCAACCCGUGUAUGCACUCGAAACUGUCUUGCUGGAGGGGUAGAGAGGCAAGCGGAAUUCCCGGUGUAGCGGUGAAAUGCGUAGAUAUCGGGAAGAACACCAGUGGCGAAGGCGGCUUGCUGGCUACACCCUGACGCUGAGGCGCGAAAGCCAGGGGAGCGAACCGGAUUAGAUACCCGGGUAGUCCUGGCAGUAAACGAUGAAUGCUAGGUGUGGGUGGGUCAAACCAUCCGUGCCGCAGUUAACGCGAUAAGCAUUCCGCCUGGGGAGUACGGCCGCAAG
rnacentral:rRNA from 1 species